rnacentral:tRNA from 3 species
GCCGAAGUGGCGGAAUUGGCAGACGCGCUAGGUUCAGGACCUAGUGUCCGCAAGGAUGUCGGGGUUCGAAUCCCCGCUUCGGCA